rnacentral:rRNA from 1 species
GACGUAGGGGGCCAGCGUUGUUCGGAAUUACUGGGUGUAAAGGGUUCGUAGGCGGUGUGGCAAGUCGGGAGUGAAAUCUCUGGGCUCAACCCAGAGUCUGCUUCCGAAACUGCUGUGCUUGAGUGUGGGAGAGGCGCGUGGAAUUGCAGGUGUAGCGGUGAAAUGCGUAGAUAUCUGCAGGAACACCCGUGGCGAAAGCGGCGUGCUGGACCACUACUGACGCUGAGGAACGAAAGCUAGGGGAGCAAACAGG